rnacentral:rRNA from 1 species
UAGGGAAUCUUCGGCAAUGGACGAAAGUCUGACCGAGCAACGCCGCGUGAGUGAAGAAGGUUUUCGGAUCGUAAAACUCUGUUGGUAGAGAAGAACGUUGGUGAGAGUGGAAAGCUCAUCAAGUGACGGUAACUACCCAGAAAGGGACGGCUAACUACGUGCCAGCAGCCACGGUAAUACGUAGGUCCCGAGCGUUGUCCGGAUUUAUUGGGCGUAAAGCGAGCGCAGGUGGUUUAUUAAGUCUGGUGUAAAAGGCAGUGGCUCAACCAUUGUAUGCAUUGGAAACUGGUAGACUUGAGUGCAGGAGAGGAGAGUGGAAUUCCAUGUGUAGCGGUGAAAUGCGUAGAUAUAUGGAGGAACACCGGUGGCGAAAGCGGCUCUCUGGCCUGUAACUGACACUGAGGCUCGAAAGCGUGGGGAGCAAACAGGAUUAGAUACCCUGGUAGUCCACGCCGUAAACGAUGAGUGCUAGAUGUAGGGAGCUAUAAGUUCUCUGUAUCGCAGCUAACGCAAUAAGCACUCCGCCUGGGGAGUACGACCGCAAGGUUGAAAC